GGAUUUGGUAACCGUUUCUGCAAGGAGCCAAUGUUCGUUAACACUUGAAUGACACGAGAAAAGUCAGACACGGAGAGGGAAGAGUGUUUGUUGAGACGCUGUAGCAAACGCGAUGCUAGGCUAGGUGGCUCCAAUUUCCUGACCGUGGCCGACAUCAUACAAUCUACGCCUAGAUAUCUCAAGCAUAUAGAGUUACAAGCGAAAUGACAUUCGGUAGCGUUAGUAAACAGCCGCCAUUUUAGAGCAGUAUACUUCUCAGAAAGGCUCUGUUGUAGUAAACCUUCCGAGCGAACCUAAGCAACUUUUUAUCCAAAAUACUCCUAAAUCGGCAAAAUCUUGACUUGAGUCUAUCUUUAAAGGAUGAAACAGUUAUAAAAUUUUCACAUGUCGAAAGUAGACGGAAGGGAACUAAGGAAAAAACGGGAGCAAUUUUAUCAACUUUAUCGGUUGAUUCACAACAUUAAAUGACCUCCAAACAUAGCAAAGGUUACUAUGUUUUUUUUUUGUUUUUUUUUUUUAAUGAAAAAAAAAAACAUGAAAGGUAUCACCAGUUACUUUGCCAAGUAACUUUUUUACGACUGUGUGUGUAUUUCAGUAGUCAGUCACUACACUUGCCAAAGAGCUAAGAGGCAUUUUAACAGUCUAAAAUGUUUACAUUUUAAGUGUUUAUUUCAUUUUUUAAAAGCAAAAUAAAGGCAGUUAAAAAAAAAAAAAAAAAAAAAAAGCAAAACGCAAACCGAAACCGAACCGAAACCGUGAUCCCAAAACCGAGGUUCAAACCGAACGGUGGGCUAACUGAACCGUUGCACCCCUAGCUAACUUACAUUGCAAAAUUCUGCUAGUUUAAACUUUUUUUUACAAUGCUCUUAACAAAUGGUUCAGACACAUAUUCCAACAAAAAACAGCUAAAUAUACCAAUAAACUAAAUUACAAAUGCAUAAAAAAAAAACUAUUAGCUCAAACAAAAUUUAGCUUAUGUUGGUCUCAACAGGGAGCACCUAGAUUCAGCCAUGUGAAUUGAGGCUGACUGGAAGGCAGUGUAUCCACUCAAAUCAAUAAAACUAAAUGCAAACACUUUCAAAAUAAACCGUUACAACGUCACUUUAAUUAAACGAAUACUCGAAGCAGCAAAAUUUAAUUCGAAUAUUUUUUUCUAAUUGAAUACUCGAGUUUAGAGCCGAAACGAGUACUCGAGUAACUCGAGUUUAAAAACUGAUCCGAGUAAUUUUAUUCACCUCGAGUAAUCGUUUAUUUUGACAGCUCUAAGCAUCACGUUUUGCUCGGACUACUUUUAAUGCGGGACAACGCGCUGUCACGUGCGGAGAGGAAGAAGGAAAAAAAAAACUUAGUUAGUAAACAGCCGCCAUCUUAACCCUUGUGCAGUAUUGCGCCAAAUCCUGGCGUUUUGCUUUGUUACUCAUCAUAUUAUCAUAUAUAAAGCAUAUCAAAAAAUAAGCUAGAGGGCUGAAAAUUGUCAAAAAAUGUCAAAACAUGUUUACCUUCAAAAUGGCACCAUCCACAAUUUCAAAAUUGGUAUUGUCAUUAUUAUAUGUGGGAGGCCUACUUUUUUGUGACGCAGAGAGUAUUACGCCAACUUUCGUCCCCAUUGACUCCCAUUAUAAAUCCCAAUUUCUCAUGUUUUUUGAUGCACUGCCACCUGGUGUGUGAAAGUGCAUUUCCCACGAUUACACAAUUUAUGGCUUCAGCGGGGUGUCAACUGACACGAGAUUGUAACGGAUCCUGGAUGAAUAUCUUAAAAACAAAAAAUCCAGCAGGGGACACUAGACUAUUAUUUAUCAUUUUUCUUGAUUGAUCCCUCAUUGUCAAACGCAUUUACUUACUACCAAAAAAACAAGUUUUCAUGUUGAGCUUUGAUCGAACGGGCCAGUGUGUGGACUCACGAACACUUGUGUGUGAGUGGGUGUGUGCACGCGCGUGUGAGGGUGGGGGUGUGCACGCGCGUAUGUGGGUAUGUGUGUGUGUGUGCGCGCGCACUUUGCCUGUUCAAUGGGACAGUAUGAGUUGACUUUUGUGACGUUUGACUUUAUGACGCGACUGUGGGAGAAAUCGUGUGCGUUUGUACAUGCACGCGCACUCUCACGUCACCGAGCGUGUGCGUAUGUGUGUGCUUGUACUUUUGCGUGCAGAGGUCUGCAGAAGGCGGCUUUGAAUGCACUUCAAAGCACCUUGUCUGCAGGGCGCAAAAAGGUGUUUGAUGUGACACAUUUUGAGAAUUCAAAAUGCAGUUGUUUAUUGAAUCUCAACUCUUAUUGGUAGAAUGUUUUACUUUUUCCUCCUCCCAUUGGCUCAGUGAAUGGUCACGUUUGUAAACAACUUUAUAUGGGGUCCAACGGCUCAAAGGCCAUUUUACUCCCUGUGACUGCUGGUGAGCAGAGAUGGCGAGAAUAUUUUUUCUUGAGGAGGCAAGAAAAAUGGUGUUGGAGGAGGAAUGUCCCACAGACUCAAUGGAUGAAAAGGAUGAUGUGUCACAAGACUAUGAUGAAGAUUUUGAGCCACUUGUAGGAGAGGAGGAAGAGGAUGAUGAUUAGGAUUUUGAGGAGGUUACAGCAGAAGCAGCAGAGGAGCAACAACAACAGAAUCAGGUCAGCACUCCAUGGCUUGCCAAAAACCAAGAAAUUGUGUGGUCCUCUACAAAUGAAGUUUCGAGGCACUUCAACCUGCCCCCUAUUCUAUUGCCUGGCCCAACGCUUUUUGCAAUUGCCAGGAUCAGUAGCCCCGAGACUACUGUCAAUCUGUUUUGCCCGGACGACAUUAUCCAGCAGAUUGUCUAAAAAAAAAAGCCCAAGAUUAUUUUGGACUACGAUCUGUGUAAAGCGGCAGUCGAUCACUUGGACCAGGCAUCUGCCACAUAUUCUUGCUGCUGGAGGACAUUACGAUGGCCAAUGUCCAUAUCAUAUCAUAUGCUGGAUCUGUCUCUCUUCAAUGCAUUCACCCUCUUUACUCAGGUGGACCCCGCAGUGGUGGCCACGCCACAAAGCCAGAAAUGUGGGCAAUGUGGCCUUUGCAUUAACCGACUACGGGCAUCAAACAUUAGCUGCAAAUGUGGCAUUUUCUUUAGCCAAAAACAUGGCCAAAAAGUGUGCAAAUUGUUUUUUUUUUUAAAAAAAAAAGCUCACUGGUUGUUUGUUGUUCUAGUUGAGUUGUUUGUUGUUCUAGUUCAGUAGUUUGUUGUUGUGCGUUUGAGUUAUAUAGAUUCUGUUAAUUCAAAAUUCUUCUAGUUGUUGUGACUUGUUGACUGUUAUUCUGAUGCCAGUGAAUAUUUUUAGUGGUUGAAGGUAAAAAAAAAACAAUAUUCAGAAAUGACUUAGUUGUCACACUUCCAAGAGUGACUUUUGGCUCCAAUACUGCAAGAGGGGUAAAAAUUUUCCAUUUCAUUUUCAGAUGUCACAAGUAAAAAAAUAUUCAGAAAUGACUUAGUUACACACCCUCAAGAGGGCGCAAGGCUUCAUCCCCAAUACUGCGAGAGGGGUAAAAAUUUUGAAAUUGCCAUUGUCUAAAAAUGUUGAGUUCCUCAAAUAAAUUUUGAUGUUAUAAUUUA